UCUAUCGACCGUUUUAGAAACAUCAGUGGCCAACGAUCGUCAGGAUUGUUGAGCUGCAUUUGGCGGGAUUUCGCCGUCUUCGUUUCUCUUUCUUCGCGGACGAACACGCGCUGGGGCUGCAGGCUUGCAGAUCCCUGGUCCUUGACUGGAUAUGCGUUAGGGGCUUGUAGCUCAGUUGGUUAGAGCGCGCGCUUGAUAAGCGUGAGGUCGGAAGUUCAAGUCUUCCCAGGCCCACCACACUCAUCGAGUGAGCAUUCGUCUUCUGGUUACGGGGCCAUAGCUCAGCUGGGAGAGCGCGUGCUUUGCAAGCAUGAGGUCGUCGGUUCGAUCCCGUCUGGCUCCACCAGAUGGUUUGAUCACCGAGAUCUUGUACCGUCGUCCGCGAAACAUCACUUCGCAUCCUGCUAGUCUGGAUAGACAGCAGGUUGCGUGAUUUCUGACAUCGUAAAGAGGAGAUCGAUCCGAGUUGGAUCGUGCAGCAAGCAAUUGCUACGCGAGACUUCAUUAUCUCCGGAUCAUUUCGGCGCUCGCGCGCCUUUCAAUGUGGCUCACAAGGCUGCGUCUGAAAGACAUGCGAGUUGUAAAUGAUCCUUUUAGCGAAGCUUGACCGCCUCGCUAUCGGAACGAUCUUACGAAGCAAGCUGGUCUUUCUAAUCAUUGUCCGGCUGUACGUAGCGUUCAUCGAGGGCGCGUGCCGCAAGGUAAUCGUACAGACAACAUUCUGCCGAGUGUGUGGACAUUGAUAAUGAGAGCAAUCAAGUGCCUUAAGGGUGUUCGGUGGAUGCCUUGGCGCUGAGAGGCGAUGAAGGACGUGCUACGCUGCGAUAAGCCGU
rnacentral:misc_RNA from 1 species